rnacentral:rRNA from 1 species
AGGGUUUGAUCCUGGCUCAGGAUGAACGCUGGCGGUAUGCUUAACACAUGCAAGUCGUACGAAGAUAAAAUUGUGCUUGCACGAUUUUAUACUUAGUGGCGGACGGGUGAGUAACACGUAAGAAUCUACCUUUUGGCGAGGGACAACCACUGGAAACGGUGGCUAAUACCUCAUAUAACUGAGAAGUGAAAGAUGAAAAUCACCAAGAGAUGAGCUUGCGUCUGAUUAGCUAGUUGGUAAGGUAAAGGCUUACCAAGGCGACGAUCAGUAGCUGGUCUGAGAGGAUGAUCAGCCACACUGGGACUGAGACACGGCCCAGACUCCUACGGGAGGCAGCAGUGAGGAAUUUUCCGCAAUGGGCGAAAGCCUGACGGAGCAAUACCGCGUGAAGGAUUAAGGCCUAUGGGUUGUAAACUUCUUUUCUCAGAGAAGAAUCUUGACGGUAUCUGAGGAAUAAGCAUCGGCUAACUCUGUGCCAGCAGCCGCGGUAAGACAGAGGAUGCAAGCGUUAUCCGGAUUAAUUGGGCGUAAAGCGUCUGUAGGUGGUUUAUCAAGUUUUUUGUCAAAGAUCGGGGCUUAACUCCGGGCAGGCAGAGAAAACUAGUAGACUUGAGUUCGGUAGGGGCAGAGGGAAUUCCCGGUGGAGCGGUGAAAUGCGUAGAGAUCGGGAGGAACACCAAAGGCGAAGGCACUCUGCUGGGCCGCAACUGACACUGAGAGACGAAAGCGAGGGUAGCAAAUG